AUGCAUUCACCAUCACACCCUCUAACAACUUCACAUAUCAACAAACGAAGCCCUCAUAACCACAACUCAAUCCUCACACAUCACAAUCACCAAAACACACUCGGGGACCCUUCGUAUUUACUACUUUGCAAGAACACAUCAUCCAAACACAACAAUAAAGAAACACUCAGCCUGACGGCAACUUCACACAAUACUGUCGCCAUAAACCUCACCUCCAUUUUUGACCGACUUACCUUCAGCUACAACAAGCACCCCGACCUUCAUUUUCAUCCCACCACGAGUUUACAACCGCUGUCAUCGAAAUACACCACCACCACUGGAGCUUCGGCAGCGGGCCAUCAUUGA